rnacentral:lncRNA from 1 species
AGCCCUCUCUCCAGGCUAGAGUGUUCAGCAUGACACAUCAUGGUUUGUAUCCUGCACAUCCCUUGAGCCAAAGAAGCAAAUGAAGCUUUUCAUAAUAGAUCACAUCAGUGCAUGUGAGGCUGCAAGGAAUAUGGGAAAUAAAUAUUUCACUUGCCAGAUGUAGGAGGCUCUGGGAGGCAGAGAUUCUCUUGAAGGAUCAGAUAGUUAAACAGAUACCAUAGAUGUGAGCCCAGAUAUUCGCCCAGCAUUUAGCACACAUUGUUUCAGAAGCUGAAGUAUAAAAAGAAUAUGAUAAUAUCAGCAAAAUGAUGACACUUUUAUUCGCAUUUAAUCUUUUCCUUCCAAUCUGAGUCCCGAGUGAUCACACGGUUGAGAGUGAAAGGCUGAAGCCCUUGUAUUAAAUGAAUCUAACAAGAAAAUAAGUGUUGACAGUGUAUUGCUUAAAAAAUGAAAGGAAGACAAAGUGUUCUUUCCACUAGCAAGAUCUUUUAGUUUCAGUGGAAAAUCUUCAAUAAAUGUUAAACUACUGAAAUAUCCAGCAACCUUGACAUAAAUAUGUGGCCAAUGGGCAUGUCAGAUGACAGAGCUUGACCACUGCUGUCAGUGAUACAUCAUUCAGUGGCUUCCCUGGCUGAAUUGAAAGGCUGCAGAAGCAUGGAAGGGGUCAUGGGGGUCAUAUUUCCUGACACUGGCUGUUGCGAUCUGCCCUAGUGGAGACAAGGCAGCACUCAUGACAGCGAUGAUGCCACCAGAACUUACUGCCUGAGCCUGUUCCAGAGGCUGUGCAGGAGGAGAUGUGGCUCAGUUUCCUCUGAUGAAGGCUCAGAACCUUGGCCAAUAGAGGAUACAAAAACAGGAAUUAUUAACCAACACUUGAAGCUCUUGCACUAACCUACAAGCUACAAGAUGUCCUCCCGGAAGGGUGAAUCAGGAGAUUUUUACAGAUGGAAGCUAAACGGAAGGAUUUCUUCCUGAUGCCAGAAGAGAUCUGGAGGCAGAGGUUCCACUUCUGUAAUCAUUGGCAGUGACAAAGGGAGUGGCCAAGAGCAAUCUGUGCACACAAAUAAGUGCAUUUACAGGACAAGAAUAAAAAAAAAAGUGAAGCUGUUCUACAUCUCUGAAUGGUUCCCUUCCAUGGUCCCCAGCAGAAUUCCAAUCAAGCAGUUAUGGUGCGGAAGGCAAGGUAAGAGUAAUUGCUAGAUAACUAUGUCAUGUUUUAAGGAAGGGUGGAGUAAUGGCAGGACUGUAGUGUAGUAUUUGAAACUCUUGAUGUUCCUCAAAAUAGACACAUGAAAAUAGCAUACUGUGUUUGAGCAUGCCUCUGGAGCAAAUUCUGUAAAGUUCAUCGUAAGUAUACUUUA